CUUCCCAUGAUUUGGGCCUCAAUUAGUUGUCUUGGGAAAUGAAGCUACUCUUUCCCUGAUUCCAAGGAGCAUUUCAGAAGCGUUUACGAGCAUCGCGAAAACCCUCAGGCAUCUCACGCCUGCUGUUUUGGACAAGUGGAUCUCAGUCUUCGGGGAAGUGACUGCAGAAAUACCUAAGGUCUCAGAGGGCCCAGAAGAAGCCCUAAUCUGGGAUAGGAUCUCAAAGAUGGCUUCUGGAGAGAGGAGAUCCUGAGGAUAGCCAGGCAGAAGAAAGGAGGGGAGCGAGAAAGAGAAGCAAAGGGAAUACUAUGUGCGGAGGCCAGAGAAGGGAAGGAUUUGUAAGUUAAUAUCCUUUUUAUGGCAAUU
rnacentral:lncRNA from 1 species